rnacentral:rRNA from 1 species
GUUUGAUCAUGGCUCAGAUUGAACGCCGGCGGCAGGCCUAACACAUGCAAGUCGAGCGGUAACAGGAAUUAGCUUGCUAAUUCGCUGACGAGCGGCGGACGGGUGAGUAAUGCCUGGGAAUAUGCCUUAGUGUGGGGGAUAACUAUUGGAAACGAUAGCUAAUACCGCAUAAUGUCUUCGGACCAAAGAGGGGGAUCUUCAGACCUCUCGCGCUAAGAUUAGCCCAGGUGGGAUUAGCUUGUUGGUGAGGUAAGAGCUCACCAAGGCGACGAUCUCUAGCUGGUCUGAGAGGAUGAUCAGCCACACUGGAACUGAGACACGGUCCAGACUCCUACGGGAGGCAGCAGUGGGGAAUAUUGCACAAUGGGCGCAAGCCUGAUGCAGCCAUGCCGCGUGUAUGAAGAAGGCCUUCGGGUUGUAAAGUACUUUCAGCAGUGAGGAAGAUGGUGUGCUUAAUACGCACAUCAUUUGACGUUAGCUGCAGAAGAAGCACCGGCUAACUCCGUGCCAGCAGCCGCGGUAAUACGGAGGGUGCGAGCGUUAAUCGGAAUUACUGGGCGUAAAGCGCAUGCAGGUGGUUUGUUAAGUCAGAUGUGAAAGCCCGGGGCUCAACCUCGGAAUAGCAUUUGAAACUGGCAGACUAGAGUACUGUAGAGGGGGGUAGAAUUUCA